rnacentral:lncRNA from 1 species
ACUUAAUGCUUCUUGCUCAUGGUCCCUUGUGUACUGAGUCAUGGCUAUACACACUUGAGUUGUCACAUCUUUUAUACCAAUCUUUUUUGACAAACUCUAGUGGUAGACCACUCCCAAAACCUUUUCCUCCUUUUAAGCUUUCAUUGUUUGAUGAGUGAGGCCUUUUUCGGAAAGUCUUACAUGUGCAUAAUGUUGAGAGUAUCGGGAACGACAAUGCUUGAUCUUCAUUCUUGCUAGAUUGGACACUCUAUUGUCUAGCUAUAGGUGGGGGUGAGUGUUGUGAUUAUGAUUUGGGAGAAAUGAAAAAGGAAAAGAAUAGACUCUUUGUGCUUAAGUGAAUUGUUUUAUUGGGACCAGUAUAGAAGCCUCUAGCUCAAGUUUUGAAAAGUCUUGGCCCCCAGCCUAAAAAAAAAAAGGAAAAAGAAAAACGAAAAAAAAAAGAGAAAAAAAAAAAGAAAAAAAAAAGAAAAAGGGGGCUAGCAAAGUUGUUAGGAGCUAAGAAAUGUUUUGAGGUUGUGAAAAAUCCCUUGUAGAUUUCAAAGAGAAGGAGUUAAAGUUCUUAGGAUCUUUUGGUGAGAGAUGUGAGUUGGGUUUGACAUUUGGGAAUGAUUGUGUAAUUGUAUGUUUGGGAAAAGGGUAGAACAAUGGAGAUUGAGCAUUGUAUGCAUGAGUUGGUCCCUUUCUUAGAUAUAUUAUGUGCAAUGUCAAGGCUACUUGUUUUGAGAGUAAACCACCUUAAAGAUCAUAUGUUUUGAACCUCUUGAAUCACUUGAAUAAAAGCCUUCCCUUACCCAACCAAAUGACUUGGACCAACUGACCAUUUGCAAGAAUUCACCUGAUGUUUUGUGCUUAAUGAAUGUGAGAGUUGGUUGAUUUGAAUGUGUGGAUGCUUGAUGAUGAGUGUAAGAACAAAAAGAGUUAAGAUAGGCCUAGAGAAGCUAGAGUGUAAUAAGAGAGUGUGCUAGUUGUGUUUCUUUUGGCUAUGUGCUCCCUCCUUCAACCUCUCUCCCUAUGAGUUCUAGAAAGUUCACUUGUGGACAAGUAAAAGAACAAGUUUGGGGGAGUUGAUAUCUUGCAUAUUUCAUUGUUUUAUCCAUUCAUCCAUGUGCAUUUUCAUCAUAUAGAUUAGGAUUUAGCCAUGUUUAGGUUGCAUUUUGCAUACAUGAGUCCUUAUCAGGUAUUGGAGUACCACAUGGAGUUCUUGGAAACAUUGGAGGCAUUUGGAGCUCAAAAGGAGUGUUUAGAGUGGUCAUUGGGCGAGCAAGGCAUGGAGCGACCAGUUCGGAGCGACACCACCAAGUCGCUCUGACCUCCCUAUUGGAGCGACCUUACCAGAGCGACAGGGAGAAGUCGCUCGCGGUUUCAUCACUCGGAGACGCGAGAACGAGCCCGGAGCGACCUCCCGGAGCGACACCACGAAGUCGCUCGCAUCUCACACCCCUCUCGGAGCGACCUCCCAAAGCGACACCCCGAGGUCGCUCGCGUCUCUAUGGCGAGACGACACGAAGCGAAGCCUGGAGUGACCUCUCAGAGCGACCCACUGAGGUCGCUCCCGAAGGCCGGAGCGACUUGUCGGAGCGACAUGCCGAGGUCGCUCCGCGCCUAUUAUCUGCUCGAUUUCUAUUUUACUUAAGGGCCUUUUGGUCAUUUCAUUAUGCACGUUUUACAUUUCUAAAACCUAUGUUUUAAACAUCUUUUGUAGCCACCAGAGGCAGAUUAUCUUUUAUCUUUUGAUCUAUUGAGAAAUACACAAGAACUCUCUUGAGAAGUUCAUCUCUUGGAUUUUGAUUUGUUAUGUUCUUGUGUUCUUGUUGAUUUCUUAUCUAUUUCUCUACAUGAUUAAUCUGAAAUCCAAUAUGGGUUUAAGAGGAAUCAUGGAGAUUAGUGAGUAAUCACCUUUGGAAUUCAUGGGUUAGGGAGAUUAAGGGUGAUUAGGUUAGAGCUAGGAUGUUUUAGUGUAGAUCAUUCAUAUUUCCUUGCUAGUAGAGUAAUCAUAAUGCAUCUUCUGAGUUGGCCACUCAGUUGUUGAUCCUUAGGCAUUUCUCACCCGAAAGGUGUUCGAUGAAAUGCCCGAGACAACUCUCCUAGGCUUUUAGUAUACUUUGCCAAAGACAUUUGUUGUUAAAGAUGCUAAGAUAGCUAAUAGACUUGUUAGUAAUGAUUGCUUUCAUAUUAUUCAACCAAAGACAUUUGAUGUUUGAGAUAUGUUAGCAAAUGAGCAUUCAUCUAGACAUAGAGCUUGCUUAGAAUUGUGUCUAGGCUUAAGGUUGAUAGUUUGAUUGAUCAUUUGCCAUCCUUAGUUCGAUACUUGAUCACCCAAGGUCUAAUCCUUAUGCCCAUGAGUUCUCUUUUCCUUUAGUCAAGAAAGUAUCAUUCUGUUAUUGCUUUCUAGUUUUAGUCAUAGUUUAAAACCCAUCUAAAUCAUUGGUUGCACUUAGAUUAAGUGAGUACUUGCAUUCCCAGUGCUUUGAUAUCCCUCAGAACUGGAUCGACAAUCUUCUAUACUACAACAUUUGUCUUAGGAGCCUUGAAAACUCCUAACAUCAAUAAUUAUGAGAUAAUAUUAAAGUAUGUGAUGCAAAUACUCUGAAAAGAGUGAAUAAUAAUGUCUUUAGGUAUAUAGCUAAUUAUGAGAUAAUAUUAAGGUAUGGGAUGCAAAUACUCUGAAAACAAUAUAACAAAACUACACAUUGUAGUGUUUCCACGUGGGUACCAUAGAAAUGGAAAAUUAAAACCGAAGUUGAACCAGCCAACAAGAGCAUCAGAAAAAAGAAAUCAAAACAAAACUCCACCAGAAAAAAUCUUGAAGAGGAACAUUAAUCUCUAGUAGCACCAUCAACGAAGGAAGCACUAGCGGAACCAUAAAUACGCAUAGUUGAAGAGCCAUCUGCCUAAAAGAACUCACCACUAUAUAAGCUAGGUUCAAGCCUUCAAGGAAAACCUUUGAUCAACUAAUUAGGUGUAAUAUUUUUUGUAUUGAAAAUGAAUUAUGGAACAAACCGUUGAGCAACAUAUUUUAAAAUGCUUUCUAAAUAAGUUUUGAGUGGGGUAUUUUUUACGGACUUACUAUACUACCCCAUUUGCUUUGAAAGCAUAUGUCACCUUGUAUUUGCUGUGCUCUUAUUACCUUUCCAAUCACAUUUUAUAUUUAUUUACAAGACUUUGUCCGAAUAUAGAUAUUUAUCUGCAGUGGACAGAUGCGUUUGGGAGCCCAUAAUAAAGGAUAGAGAGACAUGCACUUUUGGAUGAUAGCUGAAUAUAGAAACUAGAAAGCCAAGUCGAUAAACUUAUCCAUCCCUCCACUCACUCGAUCGGUAUCGAAUGGUGUCGUUCCUAUCAUCUCGAGGCAUUGUCGAUAGCCGCUUUAUAUCUGACACGUGGUAGUAGAUUAGCAUAUGUCCUCUAUCAUCUUUUUUUUUUUUUUUUUUUUUUUUUUUUUCUUUUUUUUUUUUUACUCUAUCAUCUUGUUACUUACAAUACUGUCCAUGUUGCUAAUCUUCCUUUACUUGCACUGGAAGAAAAAAGUAAUUAUCAAUCCUAACCGCUAAUUUAUGAUGAAUCUAAAUAACACAAGACACAAAGUUCAAUAUUUAUGACUAGAUUGAUAAUUAUUCUAUUCUUUCAAAAGCAUUCUUGUUAUUUGUAAGUGUUUAGAUUCUCUGUGUUUUUUAAAUUACAUAUUUUUGUAUUUAAUACAUAUUAAAAAUUGAUUAUAAAUAUAUCAUUUUAUAUAACUAACUAUUUUCUGAAAUUUAACAAAUAGUACUUGAAUAAGCGUAACUUAAUUUUUUUAAAUUUAUCAUUCUUAACUGAAAAAAUUUACAAAUAAAUGUAAAACAUAACCUUACAACAAAUAAAAGUUCAAACCUUUUUUUAAUAGAAGAAAUAUUAAUUUUAACACAAUAUAAUGAUUAUAAAUAUUAGGAGUUGAAAUUUCAUUUUAAUCAUUAUUGGACUUUUUAGUUUAGGGAUGAGUCUAUGUGUAAUGAUAUUCAUUUUAGCUGUUAAAUCUUAUAUAUUAAAACAGAAGUAAUGAUGACUUCUUUUCAUGUGUGAUUUUUUUAGUUUGAACCAUUCCUAGAAAAUAUCAUAUUUUACAUAAGUUCGUUAUUAUAUCUUUUAAUAUCUUUAUCUUUUUAUUUGAAAUACAAAUGAAUAUAUUUAAAAUGUUCUAACAAAAAUUAUUUAAAAUCUUCUUAGAAUCUUUUUAAAUUUACUUUCAAAAAUUAGUCAGUUUUAAUUUAAAUUAUCAUAAAAUAUAAUUAGAAAUUAAAAUUGAAUAUAUUUUUGGUUUAUAAACGAAAAUUUAAAUAAAAUGAAAUUAAUUAAUUUCACAAAUACAUUUACUAAUAAUUUUUAAAGAUUUUGUUAGAAAUAAAUAUUUAUAUUUAUUUUAUUUUUUUUUCAAAUUUGUUUUCUAAUAAAAUAAAAAUCAUGAUUUUUUUAUGAAUGAUAUUUUUAUUUGGACCAUCAUUUAAAUUUUAUAUUAAAUGUAUAUCACUAAUGCUAAUAUACAUAAUAUUUUUAACUACUUUAAUCAUAAUAUAUUUUAUAUCUUUUAAUUUAAAAAAAAUCUAACAAAUCUCUUGAAAAAGAUUAUAAUAAGAUCUUAAUUGUCAUAAAUUGAAUAUAAAUAUUUUCAACUAAUUUUGUAAUUAGUAAUGAAAUGUUACUAAACGAAUAAAAUUAUAUCCUAUUUUAUCAAUUUUAUAAUAAUAUCUAUCAUUUUAAAAUAAAAAUGUUAUAUUGAACAAAGUAUGAUAAAAUUAUUUUAAAUUGAUAAGUUAACAUAUUUUAUUUUCAUAAAUAUAAAAUAUCUAUGCUAAAAAUAUAAUAUGUUGGUAGAACGGGUUAUAUUAGUAAACUAUAUAAUACAUGUAUAAAAAUUUAACUUAUCUUAAACUUUUUAAUAUACAGUAAUUUAUUAUAUAAAAUUAAUAAAAAUUAAAAAAUUACUAAAAAAAUCUAGCGAUUUGAAUUAUGGAUCAUGAUUAUAAUAAAUUAAAUACAAAAUUAUUUUCAUAUAUGUUGUUUCAUGCAUUAAAAAAUUUAGUUUAGUAAUCAAACGCAAAUUCAAUAAGACAAAUAUAUGAUAAGCAACAUAUAUAUGUGAUGAUUUUAAUUUAUAACAUGAAAACUAUAAAAUUAUUAUAUUUGUCAUAAUUAUACAAACAUUUAAAUAUGUGAGUAACAUUAAAAUAUAUAAUAAUUAUGUAAAACAAAUAUCUAUAUAUAUAAAUGUGAAAAUAUAUACCCGCACAGUUGUGCAGGUGGAAAUCUAGUUAUAUGUUUAAUAACCCUUUUAUUAUUAUACGAAUACUAUUCAUUAAACUAUAUUGGAAGUUGCAUUACCCUACAAUCGGAUUUAACCAAUUUUAUCAACAUCAUUUUUAUAAGUCCCGUUAUUAAUAGAUUAUGUGUUAUACUUAUUUGGUUAACAACAUAAUUUAGAAUAACUAAAAAAUGAAAAUGAUAAAAAAAUGAAAAUGAUCAAUGUUUGUUACGCUAAUGGCAGACACGUAAAGACCGUACAAGUCAAAAUCAUUGUAUUAAGUCACACAAUUCAACAAAACCAUCCACAAGAAAAGGAAAAUUUCAUUUUUCUUGCCACUUUUACAAGUUAUUGACACAAUUAUUACCUAAAAUAGUCUUUAAUAGGAGAGACUUAAUUCACCAACCCGAAUUCUAUAAUGGUAUGUACGGCAUUAAUGUUUGAAGAAUAAAUCGCUAAAUCAUUUAAUUACUCGUGAUCUGUAUGAUUAAUGACGUGAGGCAUUUAACUAAUCACAUUAAACAAAAGCCAAUGAUCAAUGGCAUAACGGUAAAAUAAAGCGAAAUACAGGGGUCUUAACUUAACUAAUCCUCUUUACCUUAGCUUCAAAACUCAGCUCCUUGCUACUCUUCUCUCGGAACGAAGACAGUUUUAAAGGAAGAACAAAAAAAAGCAACAGAAACCCUAAUUCGCGAAGAACCCUAAUCUCAAAAUUUAUGUAUGUAAAUGCAUCUGUAGCAGAACGGCGGUUCAUCGGAAAAGAAGCCGCCGCUUGUUUACCUUCCGAUCCCAAACCUAAGAUCAAACAUCAUCUUCCUCAGAGCCAUCUGACCGUUGAAAUCGCUGAUUCAUCGUCUCCGCCUCAGUCUUCUCACCCGUUUGAUCUCCGCCUGGGCUCGAUUUUGUCGUUUGUGUCAUCAUCGCUUCCGUCGAUCCCCUCCGCGACGAACCAGAAGCUCCUCCGCCAAGUGAUUCGAGUCCGUUUGAUAUGCUUCCACCUCCGUUUCCUGCUUCUCCUCUCCGUCCCUCCUCUCUACGUCUUCUUCCUCUUGAUCAGUUUCCGCUUCUUCCUUGUCUUCGUCUUCUCCAUUCUCGCCUUCUCCUUCUUCCUUUCCAUCUCUCUCAAACUCGCUCUUCCUCGCCUUCCUUCGAUUCGCCUGAUCAUCGCUCGCUUGCUAUCCCUCAAGCUGAGAUCAUCCUCCUCCUCCUCCUCCUCUCAGGUUGUUUGGUCAAUCGGGUCAAAGCCCGUUACAGAGAAGAAGACCGAUUCAGGGUCUUGGGUUCACAAGUACAGCUCCGGGGAUGUGUACGAGGGAGAGUUUCAUAAGGGGAAGUGUUCAGGGAGUGGGGUUUAUUACUACUCGAUGAAGGGUAAGUACGAAGGGGAUUGGGUUGAUGGGAAGUAUGAUGGGUAUGGAGUUGAGACGUGGGCUAAAGGAAGCAGGUACCGAGGUCAGUACAGGCAAGGGAUGAGGCAUGGAGCUGGGAUCUAUAGGUUUUAUACAGGGGAUGUGUAUGCUGGUGAGUGGUCUAAUGGACAGAGCCAUGGGUGUGGUGUGUAUACCUCUGAGGAUGGUAGUCGUUUUGUUGGAGAGUUUAAAUGGGGUGUCAAACAUGGCCUUGGUCAUUACCAUUUCAGGUGAGAAGUCAUCAGUUUUCGUUUGUUAACUUUGUGCGUUCUCAUUAAUUAACAUGCCAAGGUGAGGUGGUGUGGGGUUUGAACACUGCAGAGUCGUUUAACUUUUGUAGAAAUCGUGAAGCUUUCUGUAUAAGGGCCAACUAUUAACCAGUUUGGAAUUGAAAUUAAUGUGGUUUCUGAUAGUUUCUGACUUCGAAUCUGAACUUUAUUGCUAAGCCUCUAAUUGUGUUUUGACUUAGGAUGCUGUGUUAGGCCUAUGUCUGUGUUAGGUCUAAGUUUAUGGCUUUCGAUUUUGAAUUGUUGAUGGAUUGUUAGGCUGCCUAUACGUUUUGUUGUUGGCGUCACUCACCUUUUUAGGAGCAAAUCAAUUUUUGAAGAUUAACUAUUACUGCCAUUGAUAAAUGCACGAGAUAAUAAAUUUUAAGAUUCUGUCUUUCAGUUCCUGUUACAUUUGGACCAAGAGUUUUAUGUUGGACGGUAGUUCUUACCUUUGAAACAUUAUAAGUCUAGGAUGGCCUCAAGGUUCAAGCUUUUUUUUUGUUUGCUGGCAUAAGCAUUGAUCUUAAAAUAAUUCGAUCGGUUACUGUGUUGUCUUCUCUAGUGAUACCUUCCUAACUAACUUGAAACUACACCUCUGUUGCAGAAAUGGCGAUACCUACGCUGGAGAGUAUUUUGCAGACAGGAUGCAUGGUUUUGGAGUUUACCAAUUUGGAAACGGGCAUCGGUAUGAAGGAGCCUGGCAUGAGGGGAGAAGGCAAGGGCUUGGUAUGUACACAUUCAGGAAUGGUGAGACACAGGCAGGACAUUGGGAUGACGGUGUUCUCAGCUGUCCUACCGAGCAGAGCACCCGUCCUGGUUCAUCCUUUUCCAUCAGCCAUUCCAAGGUUCUCGACACUGUCCAGGUAACUUAUAAGCUUAUCUUACUCCUACUAAUACAUACAAAGUUAUGUACUUUGAAUUUUGUUCAUCUCUUGAGAAGUUAAGAGACCAAUUUGUAAAAAUAGUAUUUAAUGUUCAUAUCAUUCAACAGCAAGCUAGGAAAGCAGCCGAGAAAGCACAUGAAGUUGUGAAAGUGGAAGAGAGAGUGAACAGAGCAGUGAUGGUAGCAAACCGAGCAGCAAAUUCUGCUAGAGUUGCUGCAACAAAGGCUGUUCAAACAAAAACAUAUUACAGUAGUGGCGGCGAUGAUCCCUUAUGAGUUCGUGUGUCAAAGCUUUUGAUAUAGUCACAGUCAUGAAUCUCACCUCGAACUUCUUCGGUGACAUGAGAGAGAAAAAGAGAGACAUCUAGAGAAUGGCAGUCAAAAUUCGCAUCUCCGUUGAGAUUAUCUUGAAGGUGGAAACCACUUGGAACCAAUGUCGAGAUCUCAUAUAAGUAUUAAAUAAGAGAUCUGGCCAUGGAGCAAGCAAUGCAGGUUUACUUUUUUCAUCUUUUCUCCCAGCUCUUUUCUUUUUUAUGAGCAGGCUGGUUUAUAAGCUGUACAUAGGUUGUUGAAGAGUAAGCAAUGUGUGUUAACAAAAGAUCUUUGUAACAAGCGUAACCCAUGUAGAGAAGCAACAAAACAUUGUCUUUUACGUUUUCACCGUGUGAAUAACAACAUCUCUUCUUACUAGAUUUCUUUUCAACAGAAAACGACAAGUUAUAAUCAACUUGACACAAUCAACCAAGAUGAUGUAUAAUGAAUUGACAGAAGAUUACAUAUAUAAUGGCCAAUGACAAGUGCCAACAUAUUCAUCUGUUCUUGUAAAUGGUUAUGGUCUUGAGGUACGAUCAGUGCUGUCAUAAGUCCUAACCAUUCAGACACAAUUAAUGAACCAGAACUAUGAAAGAAACUAACCACAAGCUAGAAGAAUUAAACAACUGGUUUCUUGUAGCCAUAGCAUAACCCGAGCUUUACAAGAAAAAAACAGAGCUUGUGUCACAUAGUUAAAUGGGCCCAGGCCCAUGAGACGAUUCUCUCCCGCUCUCAGGUCCGUUUUAGUCUAACAUGACCGGAGAACUCCCAAAAAAAAAACUAGAAUAAGAGAAGAGAUGCAGAAAUCGUUCUCGUUGAUCCAAACGGUGGCAAUCUCCGGCGUAUUCUCCGCCGUCUCUUGCUGGUGAGUGAUUAUUCUCCCCCCGCCCCCUUAACUCUCAUUUCUUCAAUUUAGGGUUGAUAAUAAUAUGUCGUGUGUUAAUUUUUCAAGGUAUGGAUUCAUGUUCGGUAGAGAAUCGGCGAGAAAAGAGCUGGGCGGUUUGAUCGAAGAUCUCCGUCGCGGAGGUUCGGACUCUGGUUGUCCUCCCCAUUCUUGAGUUAGGUGACGACGAUAGCUCUUUUUGCACUCUUGUUUGAGCAAUUAUCAUUGUAUCUUUUGUUUGAGUUAUAUGAAAAAUCACUAGACAUUUACUAUCAGUGUAAACCACAUUGAUUAAGAUCAUAAAGAUUGUAACACUGUACUCUCUCAUCUCCCAUGUUUAUUAUGUAUUAGACAUCAAGAACAUGAACUUUACAAUCAGGGCCGUUGAUUAUUUGAGACUAAAUGAUCAAUACAUAUUGUUAUUUGAUAUUUAAAUUUGGGGACGAGAAUGUUUCAUCUCAUUAUGUUCAAGAUCGCCUAUGGAUACAGUAUAUGUGAGAAAUUAAACUAGAGAAGUCUCUUCAACCUUCUCAAUGAUCCUCCUGCCUUUGACAAAUCCCACAUAAACCUCACUUCUUGUUGUGUCUUCUUCAGAGAGUCGUCUAUUCCUUCAUGUUCUUAACAAACUCCACUAACUGCUGCCAGUUUUGACCCGCAAACAACCUCUUGUUCAUUUUUAGGUAAGUAAAUUGUGUCGACCCCUUUCCAGAAUCUGAUCUAUUCGUUGCAACCACUUGUCAGAACGCGCUCCAGUCAUAUCUCCCUUAACGCUUUCUCCCCUGCUAGCUCAGUUCCAGCCUGCCUUGUCACCUUCUACACUUGUUUAACCAGACCUUCCGGCGAGCAAUUUGCCGUGUUUGCGUAAUUCAGGUUGUUCUCCAUGCAGGUGAAGCUGAACACAGCACCAUGUGUGUUGAACAGCUUACUAUUGGUAAGUACCCGUCAUGGUUUAUUGUGUUGUAAAUUUGUAAUACCCAUCGGUUAGCUCAGCCGCGUUUGACCUGGUGUUGUAGUGCCAGUAUAUUCCGGCUACUUUUCCUGAUAGCUUUGCCCCGGUUCCUUGAAAGAUUGCUUUCGCUGAAGCUAGAAGUUUGUGUCCCUGUUCCAGUAACUUCCCUGAAUACCAAUCCAUGAAAAACUUUCCAUAUUUAUUUAUACUGUUCCAUGUUCCAUCUCUCCUGAAAGAACUCAGUAUCUUCUGGAAGGUUCUUGUACUAGCCAGCAUCAUGAGGCCCACUUGUUCCCCUAGUUAGUCUUCUCGACUGAUGAUUCAGCAUAUGCUUGAAGCGACGAUCUCAAAUACUGCAAAUCAAGAAGUAUAUAGUUAUGUAUAAUAUUGGUGCAGUUAACUGUACACUAUACAAUAUCUCACUAGCUUAAGCUAUACCUUUUCAUAGCACUGAACUCUCCAAUUCUCGAGAACCUCCGGGUCCCAUUGCUCUCAGGGUAUGAUGGGUAUCUCAACUCUCCACAAGGUCCCAUUCCUACUUGAAUUUCCUGCAAUACAUGAAGAAAUGAUGUGAUUAGGUCACUGCAUAUAUAUAUACUGCCCAUGUCUUAUAUGAAGUUGAUUAUUUUUUUCUUUAAAAGAGUCUAGAUGCUUGCUUACCGCAAAUGACAACUUCUAUGUAAUUUCUGAAUCUUUCACGGAAACUCCUUAUAAAAUCUGAAUAGACCUGGAUAGGUGUACAUGCACAUAAUCACAUCCCAAGGAGAUAUACUCUGGAUUCCUUCUCCCAGAUUUGUCUGUGUAGACAAGAUCAGGGUUCUUACUGAUUUCUUCAAGCACCCAUGGUUGCAAGGGAAUACUAGAUUUUAAAAGAGACAAACAUUAGCUACGCUAGAAGUUUGAGACAGAUUUUGUUCAAAAGGGAGAAACUAAAAUUGCUUUCAUUACCUGCAAAAGGCUCCAACGUUUCUUCCACAUUGAUGGGAAGACAUAACGACGUGGAGUUUGAGACCGUGCAUCUGAACCAUCUGUAUAAGCGCGGCAUAGCCUUCCCAGUUAUACUUCAUAGGUCCAUCUUUCUCAAUCAAUUUCCACCAAGCAAGCACCAACCAUUUACAGUACUGCCUCAAACAGGUACGCUCUUCGAACCCUCAUUUCGUAGUUAAGAAACAAAUUUGUGACAAUAACUGAUCGUAUAAAUUAUUGAACAUACAUCCCCCCAUUCUCUAUCAUGAUUCCUUAUGUUAAUUCAAAGACACUAGUAAUGUAUUCUUGCCAAGCAUAUAGAUAGAUACAUGAGCUCAGUUUCUGGUUUUGUUCGGUUAACAAUGAUAAUAUGCAUGUUGUGAGCCUUAUGACCUCUCCGGACGCUUUAGUGCGACUCUUUGUUUCAAGAGUCUACGGUACGCAGCAUUGUAGGACAAACAUGUAGUAAUAUUAUGUACAUGCAAAGUUUUGAGCUUUAUUAUGGACCGAUGGUAGAAAAAGUACAAAGGUUAUGGAUCUGUUCAUACAUGCAUCUGCAAGAAUCAGUAAAAAAAUAAUGAGUAAAAUGAGUUGAUAUUUUCUUUUCACGUACAUAGUUUCUGACUUUGAUGUUCGUUGCUUGAUCUAAUUUAGUCUACAUCUGAUUAGUGCUUUGUGUCUUGACGUUGGUUAGAAAAAUCUAGUGUGUGAGUUAAAAAUCGUGGGAUGGUGACUUGUUUUAUUGACUUAAGGGAGUUUGAUACAGUUGAAAUAAUGGUAAAAUUCAUUCAUGUGUGUAUUUGCUGGGGCUGAGCUUGAGUGAAUGUCGCUAAUCUUCGUAGACAGAAGCAUAUAGUGGCUAAAGCAGACUAUAUGGUUUGUGGCUAGCUCAGUGGUCAUAUGGUUUUGUCACCAAUUCAUCAUAGGCUUAAGUUGUUAAACUAAACAAGUCAGAACCUUAACAUCUUCGAAACCUACCACUUAAAUUAUUACUUACCUAUUUGCGUCACCAGAUAGCAUGUGUAUUUAACUCCCAUGUAGAGCAACUGGGUUUGCCCGGCCCCUGGGAAUUAAUCCAGCCUUCGGGUUUACCUUGGGAUAUCAAAAAAUAGAACCCUUAACAAUUAAGCUUUAUAGUGUCAUUGUCUUGCUUAGAUAUUUUUCUGCUUUGUGAAAUGUGAUAAGUGUUCAUCCAAUAGGUAUGUGAGAAAGUUAACGAGUUUGUAUUUUACCAAUCAAAUAAAUAUCUUUUCGCAUUAGUACAAGAUAUAUUCUCCCACUCUCCUCUUAUGUUGAAGCAUGGCAAGACAUAGUCUCUUCACACGAAUAAAACACAUUGUGUAGAGAGCCAACUCGAACUCUGGACUUACUCCAACUAGAGUACUUGACACUGAUUUUAGAACACAGUUCCACUAGAAUUCGAUCGUUAGCAGCUGAGUCUCAUGAAUCAGGCCGUAACGGAAUCAUAAGUGUGAUACCUCAGUUAAACAGCGGCAUGUUUCGUUAGCAUGUAUAUUGGAGGAAACAUUAUGUGAUGAAUUGAAAGAUAUGUUACUUUAAACAAUUUCACCAGGGAAAUCUAUAUAGCGUUGAUAAACAAAGUUUAAGCAAAAAAGAAGAAGCUUCUACGUAUUGUGUUCUUUUCAGCUAAAUCUAUCGAAACUCCUUUAGGUUCUGAGUGAAAGGAAACUUAAAAGCACUAUCUUAAUCUAGAUUUGGUAGUUGGGUCACGACACUAUUCUAUUAUGUUUUCACCGCUCGCUUCUCUUUAAAUGCUUCUCCAGUUGUAUGGGAAGAGUGUGGAGUUUCCAUGUACGCGCCACAGCAACCGCGUGAGUCUAUAAUAAAUAACGGUCGUUUGUACUUGCUGACAGUUAGUUGAUUUUAAUUCUACAAGUACAAAUGAAAAGAAAAAAGAUAAUGGCUCAUAUACGAUAGUGCCAUAAAACGUGUUCCAUUUCAGUAAAUUUCGUAAUUAGAGUAACAAAUGUUAACUAUUGUGGAGGUAUAGUAAUUGGUAGAUAUAUCAAAAAUAUGUUCCUAUUUUCUACCGAAAUGAGAUAGUUGACUCAUAGCAUGCAAAUUUACGAAUACAUAGUAGUACAAUCACAAAAGAGGUGUUUAGAAUUAAAAUUGUAUUGAUAAAAUGUUUUAAAAUAUUACAAAGAGGAUCUUUACUUUACUAAGAACACUCUUUGUAAACUUGAGAGAUUCUUCGGUACUUAACUCAAAUCAAUUGGCUCGUAUUACAACACACUCCAAACCUUUUUAUUUAUAGUCCAAUGUCUAAAAAAUAUUUUUUGGAAUAUCCUUUAGAACUUUAAUGUCUUACAAUAUAUAGUACAUAAAUUAUAUCUUACAUUAUUCACCACACAUAAUUGAUGUUGACUCUUUUGGCUAAUAUGAUGACAUAGAUAUCAUAAUAUUAAUAUUAUCUAUGUUAACAUCAACUAAGUACGACAUAUAUUAGUUAAAAGAGUCAACAUUAAUUAUGUGUGGUGUAUAAUAUAAGGUAUAAUUUGUGUAGUGUGUAUUGUAAGAUAUUAGAUAUCUAAAAAAUAUUCUACUACAAGUCAGCGAGUGUCGCCGUAUGCAGAUAAACAAUGCUCAUAAUAAUCAAUCAUAAUCCUAUGUAGUUUGGACGCCUAAAUCAUGAAAACCAAAAUAAUGUUUUUGGUACGAUCUAUUUUUCUCUCUCGUAACUAUCACGUAGCACUAUAUCCACACAAAGUUAAUGCCUCAUUCUAUAUACCCAUCAAAUGAAUAUUAAAUACCAGUUUCCCAUAAAUUCAAAGUUCAAAUCUUAUUUACCCCCGAAUUAAAAAUUCAAAAUCUAUUCACCCUAAACCAUUAUUAAGCUUGGCUUAAUGUGUACCAACAUAUGUUUAACCAUUAAACACCAAUCAAAAUCCAAAUUAAACUAAGAAAAUUCCUUAUUAAAGCGAUUAAUCUCACACUCACUGGAAAUAAAACCCAAGACUUAAAAGAUAAAAAUCCCCAAAUCAUUAAAACCAGUAGGGAUAAAAUAAUCCGAUUCUUCUCGAUUUUGAUGAUUUGGGAAUUUUGAUGAGUGUAAAAUGAAUACCUUUUCUAGAGUAUUUUCUUGGUUUAAUUUGAGUUUUGCCACGUAUAUGGUUAAGAAUAUAAUUGGUACACAUUAAACCAAAUUUAAUCAUGGUUUAAAAGUGAAAUUUAAACUUUGAAUUCACGGAAAACAUGUAUUUAACAUUCGGGUACAUAGAAUCAAACCUUAACUUCGUGUGGACAUGGUACUAUACCAAAGUUAAGAAGAUCGUUAACCAUAUAAACAAAAUAAUAUCGAUGAUAAAAAAGAUUGAAAAAUAUUGAAAAAGUCUUUCGUGUUAUUUGGUAAAAACAAGGACAACAAUAAAGGAUUCUUUUACAAUUUUAUUGAAAGAAACUCAAAUGUAAAAGAUAAGAAGCAUUUAUGUUUGAGAAGAAACUAAACAUUUGGGUUUUGUAACCAAGCAAAGUAACCUCCCAGAAUGCCUAACUCUGUUAUAGACAAAUGUUACACAGAUCAACUUAAAAGCUCUCUUUGGGAAAACCAAAAAACACAUAAAAAACUCACUCUUUGCAAAGUCUAGUUCUUUACAAUAAAGCAAUAACUUCCCAACAGCAAAAAAGAAGAAGAAAAGAUCAUUCUAUACGCAAAUUCCUUGCAGAUUCAGAUUCCAUGGAUCUGUAAUCAUCUCGAACUCUAAUGGCUCUCCAAUCAGACUCUUCUUUGGUCUGCCUCAGAGCCAUGAAGUGUAGUGCGUCACUUCUAACCUGGUAUAUGUGGCAUGCCCACGGAUACGAGUCAGGUGACGACCAAACCUUCUGUUCCUCAAACUCUGUCUGCUCAGCUAGAGACGUCGGCAUGCAAUACACUGUGUUGGGCUCUGGCUCCUUGAAACUAGCAACUGCAACGCAUCCAGGAGAUACGAAUCCUUCAGGAGCCCGCGGAUGCCAGAUUGAUACAGGACUUACGUAAUCAUCUAAGCAGUUCCUCCACACCUGAGAAGUGAAUAACAUUAUGUAUCACUAGUCAAAAGACACAACUCAGGUUUGAUUCGGUUAGCACUUUUUUAUGCUCUACACUCGCUACAAGUUCACGGUUGAGAAAAAUUCAAUGGAUUAAGGGGUCAUAUUAAUUGAUGAGAGAUACUUACAAGGUCAUAACCCACUGGAAGUGCAAACACUCCCUCGGUGUUAUUGUAAACAGCAGCAACAUUUGGCGGAUGGCUACCAACAUGAGCUACAUCACCCACUGACACAAAUCUGGCAAAACAACAACACGAAACUGCUUCAGUUUCAAGAACAAUUGAGCGCAACUACAGUAUCAUCAUUAGCGUAACAGAUAAUACUUACCCCUCUGGACAACUAGGUCUCCAGAUAGUGCACACUCCUCCAUCUUCAGAAACCUGAAAGCAAAAAAUAAAAGUAAAACAAUUGUAAGUAAACCUUGAAACAGUUGAUCGUGUGGGUGAAUUCUUAAAGUUUCGUCUCAUAAGAAUUCUUAUUUGACAUCUAUUGAACCUCAAUGACACCGAGAGCAAUCAAACGAAAAUUACCUGCUUUUUGCACAAAGUACAUCGACCUUUGGAUUCUCGCUCACUACUCCAGAUUUUUGAGAAAUUGAUACUAUGUUUGACAAACUUUCUAUCAUCUGAGACAGAACUUGAGGAAGAAGAAAGGUCUCUUGAUUUUAUAAUAGCCUUGUUGCUGUACGAUUUCGAGUCUCUUCCAUCAGCCUCGUUCCAAGCAAAAUACACAUGUCGCUGGCUUGAAGGAACCUGUGACGAGAAGAUAUAAAGUGUAUUAGGUAGGUGCGUUGCAUUCGCACGAGCUUCUCAAUGCUUGCCAGUGUUAAACAUGUUUAUGGUCAAGUCGAUAUUAUUAUAACACAGAAGACCAAAACAUCUUGAGAAUGGUCAUUUCGAAUGAAGAUCUCCCUUUAUUCAAACUCAGUUCAUCUGUUUCAAAUAUUGAUCUAAUAACUAUGAUGAGAUAAGGAAUAGCAAUGACCUUGAGAACAUGAUUUUUCAUGUUAGACUGAUAUGCUUUCCACAUUUUGCGCACUGCUGAACAAAUUCGAACAGCUUGGGGUUCUAGUACAUCUGAUUCUUCCGACACGCUGCACUUAAUAACCUGAGCAAAGCUCUCUGACUUCUGAAAGGUCUUCAGAUGCAGUAUGAGAUGCGAGGGCCUUUGGCCACCUGCCUUUGCCAAUUCCAACGCCAUAAGUUCCUCCCAAGGCACAUCCCACAUAAUCUUGCUGGGUUUCUUAUCCAUCUUAUCCAGAUCAGAGCACUAAAUGGAAGUAACAAGUCAGCAAAUAAAGCAAAUUUAAGACGCUAAUGUGAAAUGGUAUGGUAGUGGGUCUGACCUGUAAUAACACAACUCUCUUGUUGGUCACAAUGACAAUGCGUUUGUAUGGAACAAGGAAAUGUUCUUCAUAGCAAUCAGAUAAAGCGAAUUUUGAAGGUUCCCUGAAUAUCUCUGUACAGCCAAAAUGCCGACUUGCUUCCGCUAGGUGCAGGAGCAUCUGCAAAAACAGAUAACAAACAGAAAUCAGAACCAGCUUGGAAGUUUGAGCAUGAAUGGUAAGCUUGACCAAAAGAAUGCAAAUUAAUAGCUUUCUGGUAACAUUAACAACAUAAUUAUCCUCAAAGGAGACUUAGAUGUCAACAAUUAUAUUUAAAUAAUUCAUGCUAGAAUAGCCGACUUGUAGUUAGAAAUUUUGGAUUUGGUCGUAGACUAAAGCUUCCAAAAUUUCUCAAUAUGCAGUCUCACUAAUAGACAAUAAAAAGAAAGUGAGGCAGUACCUGGCCUGUAGCUUCCUUCUCAUCAUAUUCCCUGAGUAUACCAUCAGCAUGAACUGCACGGGGAUUUCUAAUUCUCUCCAAAGCGGUCCUGUUGCUCAAAACCUCCAAACAUCGGGUGCAGCUUGCUCCAAUUCCAUCAACAGUCAAUGAGAAAAAAUCCAAUGCACCACUCAUCGGUUGUACGAAAAAUCCUAGGAAAGCCCGCCCUACCCCAUGGGCAAACCCUAAGAUACCAUUUUGUCGGGCACUCUCUACAGGCUUCGUAACAACUCCUGAUACCCCGAAGGCAACACCCUGUGCUAGGGCUUCAGUUCCUUGAACAAAAGCAUCACCUACACCAGUGAUCCGCCUCGACCAAACCUGAUCCAUUUUUCAGCCCUCUAUUAGGCAAACUGCCAAAGUAAUCAACUUAAUUUUGUUGCAAGAAAUAUGUACCUGUCUUUCCCUCAGAUGUAGGAAUUGACCAUCAGUUGAAAGCGCCGCAAAUCCUCUACUAAGAGAAGCCAAUGUUGAGCUAGUCAUACCCAAAACAUCCACUGAGAAAAUUAAAUGUAAGGGAUUGUGGAUCAGAUCUCUCCAUAUGCGAUUUCCGAUGGCUGGAAGUAUUGAACUUUUCCGUAUGAACCGAUCUCUGUGCAUUACUCUCCUUAGAUGGACCUAAACGUAGAUAUUUUUUUGAAACAUUAGCAACAUUCUCGCUCUCUUUUUUCAGCAGUAAAUAUUCCGAGUAUAGCAAAAUGAUGAAUUAGCUUGUGGUGCCAGGAAGUAGAAAGGCUUUCUAGCCACAAGUUGUUCCAUGACAAUCCAAGUAAAAAAAACUCUCCUAUGAUGUCGUAAGAUCUUCUGAGCUACUUAUCCCAUGUUGGGAGUCAAAAAGGAACAUGACUGAAACCAGCUCAUGCUUCAGCAGUUCUUAAUUUACAACUAGUUUUCAGUUCGCACAAUAUAUAGCCAGCUAAUCUACCAUGAAAUGGAACCACGUAUCCAUAGUUAGUUCUAUUACUAGACCGUGCAGGAUGUAACGCUAAGAGAAUGAUUGUAGUUCACUAUUUCAUUUAUGGUAAUAACUUCAAAGAAAAUCAAUUACCUGAAUUUUGAAUGCAUUUCCAACAGCAGACAAAAUCGGGCUCCAAACACCAAGAAUUCCAUGAGGCCUCUGAGCUGGCGCUGUUUCCAGUGAGACCUUUAGCCUUACCUCUGAAACAUCUAUGAGGCUGAAAAUCAAAAACAAAAUUAGGUUUAAAAUUUGCUCGAUUUGCAUGCCAAAAUGGCCAUAUACUAUAAAUUUAAUCCCCGAAAAAUGGUAAAGUUUUAUAGAAGGCAAGAAUACUUUAUAUGUAUCUCAGGAUCAACUUGCGCGACACUAGUACUUUUCGGGAGACGAUCCAUCUGGAGCUUAUUGCAGAAGUCAGCCGAAGCCCAAAUGAUAGGCUCGUGAAUGUUUACUCGCCAAGUAUUAUCUGUCACCUACCAAUCAAAUAGCAAAUCCAUCAUGCACUUCAAAUAGGAUCUCAUAUGUUUGAGUACAUUGAAGAUAAACCUGACUAGAAUACAUACCCGUACAUAUACAUAUGGAUACACUUGAAUGCCAUCAGUUUCUUCAUUACACAUAGUAAUUGUCAUCUUAAGCACUGGUUGAUGACUGUCUCCAGUGUUAUCUGGUGCCAGUAGAACUGGCAUUAGAGUUAGAGGUAGCUGGUUAUCAAUCUGUAAAUUGCCCAGAAUGACUUUGAACCUGUAAACCAUAGAAAAGAGUUGCUAGUUCAGAUUUCCGAAGGUAUUUCAUGCGGUUGCAUCGCUUCCUAAUACGAGAGAACAUAUGACACUGAAAAAUUUACACGAAUGUGCAACCUAAAGACCACAAGUUUUGUUGAUAACACCAUGUUGCCUAAAAUUAGCACAUUUUGAUUCGUAUUUUCCAAGCAUAGGAAAGAACAUGAAGUAUAUUCAUAUUGUAACCCAUUUAUACGUAAAAACAGACAAAAAAAACAAAACAAUACUGCAAUAUUUGAGUUUACCUGCUAGUUCUUCCCUCAUCAUACCCAGUGGAGUAAGAUACGAAAACUUUCUCAAGGUAAAAAUAUGAUAACUCUUUUGGCACGUGAUCUACAAGAGAGAUCCCCACUAGUCCCAUUUCAAUUAUGAACUCCAGAGUGGUGGUCUUUUGUUCUGAAGGUGUCUGACGAGUAGAAUAUCUAUUAUUCCCAACCGAUGAUAAAGAUAUGAUUUCAUGAGGACUCUGUGAAGUACUGUCAUCAUCAGUGAAUCUAGCAAUCUUGAUGUCACCAAUUUCUUUAACAUGAAAGUUCACCUCUAAGUCCCUACACAAUUCAGAAUCCACAACACCAUUUUCCAUGUCUAGUCUGAAAACCCCAGAGCGGUGAUCAUUUUCAACCUUAGCAUCCAAGAAUUUCUGACCAUAAGGAUCUUCCCAAGCAAAAUUUACUGUCGUAAGAGGUUCCAACAAAACCCACGAAUCUUCACCAAAACCUGAUUGGCGGACACUGAUUCUUUUGACAGCUGUUCUAUUCUCAACCCUUGUUUAAGAAGUUUAAAACAGAAAAGAAAUUAGUAAAUUAAUGAUGGUUUCACAAAUAUGUAUUUACUAAUUGUAGAGAGGAUACCUCAUAGGACCAUUGCUUGGUCCAAGUCGAAAUACAACAAUAAAACGUGACCCUUCUUCAAAUCCCCGUAUCUCUGCUUUCAAAAAUCUACGAGCACCAUUUUGACACCUUAAUACAAGAACAAUUGUGUCUUCUCGAGCAACUUGAACAGGAAAUGACCACUCUGUUUCUCUUAACCGAACCUGAAAAUAGGCCAGAGAAUAAAAAUUAUACAUCAUUAGAUAAUAACAGAGAUGCUCUUACCUCUCAAAUGAAAACAUACGUGGUGGCCAGGAGAAAGCAUCCACAUGCCAAACAAUUUAACAAUAUAAAACAUAAUCGAUUUGCAUUCAAACUUUAAUUCACUGCUCACUUCAAGAAGUGUCACUGGUUUGACUGAGAACAUAUCAUACUACAUGCUCCAGUGGACAUCCUAAACAACAGCCUUAUUCAUUUUUUUCUCUCGCAGUUUUGCAACUCAUUGACUAAAACAAAGAUAAGAGGAAUAAAAAUUAAAAAAAUUCUGCAACAUAAACAGCUCACCUGGAGUUCAUCUCUCCCACUUGGUUGGAAAACAAAGGAGACCCGCGAAUCAUAUGCAUUGAGUACCUUUGGUUCAUCGUCACUGUUAAGUUUAAUAUAUAUAUCUUCACCGAUCCUGUUGGUGAAAGUCAUGAAUGGUCGAACAGAUAUGAUCUGCGAAGUAAAUUCGAGUCAGCAAGUAAUAAUAGAGAAGGUGUAGAAAAUAAACUGCUUAUUACCUUUGUAGGAACUGACUGAUAACCGCAAGGUUUUGUAGACAGAAAUAGCCGCAUACAUUUUCCAUCGGGAUCAUACGCAUCAACAUCCAAAGAUCCAUCCUAUCAAAAUAAGUACGAAUCAUAAGAAUGAUAGGGGAAGCAAAGCUCAAUUUUAGAGGAAACUAGUCUAUCGAACAAAUAAAAUAGCAUACAACUGACCAUGUCACCAAGGGCAGAAAGAUCUUUUGCAGGACCAUGUUGCUGAUUGCCAAACUGAGAUAUAGACACUGACAUGCCCAUAUGUUUGAAAUUCAAAGUAGAAGCAAUUGUAUGACCUUCAUAUAUAUCUUCUUCAGUUAUCUCCCGGACUACUUCGUCAUUUUUCUUAUUUCGAAAUGGAAGACCAAACUUUUUUGUUUUCUUAUUCCCUGGCAGAUCUAAAAGUCUAAGUGUAAGCGAGGGACAUCUUGCAAUCGAAAACCAGAACGGAGCAUAGAUUCUGAUCAUCUUCGUCAAAACUUUCUGCUGGUCAUCAUAAGUUUGCUCCAGUGUUAUUUGAGCAACCCUGUUCGCAUAUAUUCAACAGUAUGAGACCAAAUAAACCAGAACAGCAAAAAAAUUGUAACACCUUAGCAGAAAGAAGAAGACCUUCCAGUGGCAGAACUUCUCAGAUCAAUUGUCUUCGCAGGGACACCAUUUGGAUGAGAUACAAGGACAGCUUCCUGCCAAAUUCGAUAAACCAAAUAACUAAACAAGGGAGAAUAAAAGAAAUGGAACAACAAUGUGUUCCUAGCUGAUGUGAAUCUAGGUUCGAUUUCCAAACUUACACGCAUUGGUAGCCAUACUCUUUGCGGCAGCAAGGAAAAGUAUAAAGGCUUCCUUAUAUCGACAGUAUGCACCUUCACAGUUUCUCCAGAACCAAUGAAUUCUCUGCUCUGAGAAUGACGAAUCAAAUCACCAUUGUCUUGCUUCUCUAGCACUGAGUACUCAGCUCCAAAUGGAAGAUAAUUUGCUAUAGAAAACGGUGAUUUGACCACAAGAGUCCAAUCCUGAAUAGGGUCCGAACGUAUAUCUUUAGCGAUCUCUGUUGCUUGGGUUUUCAAACAGAACCAAUAAAUUUUAUUAUGUCCGGGAGAAGUACUGCUUAUCUGAGUACAGCAUAGCAAGUGCUCAGAUUCAGUAAGAGACGAUAUACAUAUUUCAGACUCUGAUUCACAAGCAACCUCUGGUUCCUCAGGCCUUGAUACCACAGAACUCCAAGAAUAUUCAGAACCAUCAGUCAUUACACACUUCAGCUUCAGGACAUACGAUGCAGACUGUGUCAAUCCUGACAAGGGAACCGGUAAUAUAUCGCCAGGCUUCAGCAACCCAAUUGAUAUAUUUGGAAAUGAGUGGACUUUAGCCUCCAGGCAGAGGUCAAGAAGGUACUCAGUAUUGUUUUCCACUGAAACUAGAGACCUGACAUUUACGUAUCUGUUUCCAUCCUCCAUACUAACUUCACUUGCAACAACAUCAUUUCCCAACCGCCAGCAAGCAGCAGGUGAAGCGUAAUUCAGCCUCACCGUCGUCCAAGGACCCUCAAUACUAGGACUUACUUGAAUAAAUCCAGAUUUCUUUUCACUUGAGGAUUUUCCUUGCUCCACCAUUUUCGAUUUAGCUGGCAACAGCACAGCACAUCUUAUUUUUCCACAGUUCUUUCUUUGAUCCCCUUGGUUCAUGCUCUGCAGAAAACAUGAAAAAGGUAAGAAAACUAUUGCAUUUAUCUUUUGCAAUCUUUGAACCCAAAAAGCCGUGACAUUUGCAUUUUUAAUAUCAUAUUUGGACAAUGAAGUCUACAUAGGCGAAAGGCAUUCAAGUUGAGGUUUUUUACCAUGGUAGACAAGUCUAACCAGACAAGGUCAUUGGCAUAAUUGUGCUCGUAUUGGUUGUCCUUCAUAUAUCGUGCUACCUGCUUCAAUGGAGCUGAAAAUGCGCCAACAGGUGCACCUAAUUUAUAUACCAAAAAUGAAAGAAACACUUAACUCAGAUUUAGUAGUGCUUGAGAUGUACGACGAAAGAAUGAAGGAAACAAACCAUUUCCGACGUCCGACACUAUUAAUUCCAAGAGAUAGUCAUCCUGGAAAAAUAAAAAACAAUAAAAUAUCAAAGCCGCAAUAACCUUGAUCUUGAAGACCAAAAAAUAACAAAGAGAAAGAAAUACUCUUAAUAUAAUUUAUUCUUAAGUUCUUGUACAAGAGAGGUACAUGCACCAAGAUUAGUAACUAAGAUUUGCCAAAGUUAUAGCAAUGCAUAAACUGUUUCAGAAUCAAUCUGAAGAACACAAGUAGUAGAGAUACAAAUGAAAUGGUGAUGGACAUAAGAAUCCACAGAGACUAGGAACACGCUCGUUUGAAAAGAAACAGAACUGCCAGCAGUAUUCAGGGGAUAAAAUAAACAUUAGGCCAACAAAAGAAUGUUAGACAUAGUGGAAAAGAGAAUACCAGCGAGUCAAUUUUGAAGAAAAAUAUUUCACUCCAGUCAACGACUUCCAGCUCAGAGGAAAACAUAUUUGAAACACUUCCACAAGUACGUGCACAUUGCUGGCGAAGCACUGGCUCCGUUGGGGAGGUCUGUUUGGGAGAGAGACGUAUAACUCCAGUGUAUUGAUGAGAAGACAAUCCAGAAAUUCUUGGAAGCUACAAAAAAAGGUUAUUCCAUAUAACACAUUCUCCAAAGAGUCUAUGAAAAACAAAUAUCAUAAACUUAGUAGAAAGAGUCGCAUGGAGCAUCAAAUGAAAUCACUUCCUUGCUUUAUUACCAUAGAAAAGUAAAAGAAUAGGAAAUAAAAGGAGAUUCAUGAGAGCCUGAGCGGUAGAAGUAUAUGAAUGAAAAGGCAUCACGACAAAUGUGACCUUUGUUUUAGGCAGAAAGGUACCUGUGCAUCCACCACAAUAACUGUAACCAUUAUUCUAGGGUUACUGCAUAGUUCUCCUCUGAGGUGAGAAUCCAACAUAUUGGUCAAGACGGGAACUUUUACAGGUCUCAUGUCCCCAGAUGGCAUCUUUACAAUAUCUUUAAAUCCUUUGAUUUCGGUGGGUCUAAUAUAUAUAUCCUGCCCAAGCUUGUUUUGUGGAAUUAUGAAAUAGGUUUUCUUCUGAUGCACCUCAAUAACAGAUUUUCCAUUGUCAACUAGAGGAAAUGCGCCCUGUAAGACGUAGCAAACAUAAAUCAAGAGAGAAAGAAGACUGCGUCACCAUGUGGCACAUAGGAACCAAAGGAGAAGUUCUCACUCUCUCUUUAUGGUAUUCAUGGACGUUGCUAAGGUUGUUCCAACUAGAGUACGCCUGGAUAAUUGUAUUAGCAUUUGAAACUGAGAAAUUCACAUUCAAGUCCGUUGUAGAUGUCAGGCGUAACUCAGAAACCGCACCAAAGGAUCUAGGGUUGAACUGGUACCUACAGCCCAAUGGAGCGUAGCCAUUAUAUAGAAUAUGCUCGACAUUAGUUGGAGUAAAUAACAAACAAAAUAAACAGAGCAAAUCACCCGCAGCCACAGGUGUUUAGACCUACACAUUUCUGUAAUAAUGAGCUUUAAAGUAACACAAAAUUAGAACAAAAAAAACCUUAAGAAUCCAUCUGCAGGCUCGAUGAGAGGCUCCCACGCUUCAUACUUAUCAUUGUAUGACCUUGCCGCUAAGGAGAAGUUGAUGGUUGACUUUGUGUAGUUGGUUUUGCCAAGUAAUCCAAAACAUAUAUUACUCAAAGAUACAUUAACCAAUGGAACCAUCUGCAAAGUACAUAGAUACGCCAUUAUUUUCACGCAGAUAAGUACGCCACAUACGUUUAUUUGUUUUUUCUUACCAGUCCCCCGUAGUCAUCAAAAAGCGCAGCAGAAAAUGUCCCAAUUUCUGCACGAAUGACCAUGUUAUCAAUUCCUCCAGGCAAAUCCUGGUCUGCUAGCUUUAAAGCAAAUCUCCUUGGUGGUUUUUUCAAACCACUACGGACGAUAAAGGUCUUCAACUCAUUGCCUAUGCCCCAUAUACUAAACGGUUCUACCCUCUGCCACACAUCAGAGGUAUCCCACAAACUAUCUUCAGCAAAACGAUCACCAGCUACCAUAUCGCUACGAGCGCAUUUCAAUUUGGUUAAUUCGUAUGGUUUUGCUGAACCUUUAGAUGCAACACAACCCAGGGAAACAAAACCCGGUGGAGCUUGAGGCAUCCAGAAAGAUAUACUUUCAACUCCUCUGUGUUUCUUGACACGUCCAACAAGUUGGAAAUCAACAGCGGCUUUAAGGAUAUCUUGCUCACCAUCAUCACGAAGAACCACACAAGAGUUUGGAGGUUCAUACCUACAAAUUAACCCCCGAAAGUAAUUAACAUGCACCUUGCCACCAGAAAAGAAUAUACUAAAAUGAUAUAGUACAUCAUUAUGACUUACCCACUAACAGCAAUGUCUCCGAAAUAAGCCAUCCCCUCAGUAAUGAUUGGUCUCCAUAUUGAAACUUUCUUCUGCGAGCCUGAGCCCCUAUUCCACCAUAUCAACUGAAAGGAAGCAACAGCUUCAAAUCGCUGACCAGAUCUAACAGAAUUCAGUGGCUGUGACUGUGGCUGUAUAGGCUGAAUAUUAUCAGUAGUACGAACAUCCACGUAGCUGGAUUCUUUUGGCAAGACUCCAGUGGAUCCAAAUAAUAUAUGACGUAGCUCGUAUGGUCUUCCUGAUAAGCUGAGAGAAGACGGAUCCGCAGGUAAGAAACUGCCAACAGAAUUAUCCACCCGCCAGAAUGCUAAACUUGAUUGAGAACUGCAUUGAAUACAAAAGCAAGCCUAAAAUGUCAAAUCAUCAAUGAAGGAAGAUAAACCACACUGAGGUGACCAGCACAGACGUACACUGAAGUACUAAAAUGGAAUCAUUUAUUAAUAUUAACCAAAAUCUGACAAAAAAAAACAAAUGAACAAACAAAUUUCUGCAUCUGCAAAACCGGAUACUACCAACUAAAUUCCAGUUCGUUUGAAACAAGCGCAUGAAACCAAUAUAAAUCACAUAGACACAUGGCAAAACACAUACGAAAUGUCAGGAAAAACAGACAGUAAGCAUGUUGGCACAUCUCUACAGAAGGGAACAUGCAGCAUUGUAUCCAUGUAUUCAGAAAGUGAGCAACAACUAAAAGUGAGAGGUUCGUUGCAGCAUACAUAUCUGUUGAGCUGAUUGCUACACAAUCUCUGAGAGAACAAGGGGAUACGGAAGAAGCUAGAAUGCAGAAGACAGAGGCCAGUGGAGGCGGUGUACAUCCACUGGAUACCACACAGCUUAACGCCACAUAACCCUUUGGUGCUUCAGGGAACCAAAUGGAACACAAAUUGUCUCUUUCAUCUUUGUCAUCCGUUGAAGUAUCACCUAACCCGUUGGAAGCUAAAGGUGACCAAAUCAAUCUGAAAGAUAAAGGCCUCUUCACUCUCAUCAAAUUGGUGUUGACAACAAGAACCCCUUUAGUAGGUGGUUUGUCCCUGCCAUGUCAAAAUAAAUUAGUUGAUUCACAAAGGCUCUUGCGCAACCUAUUUAAAAGUAUAACUUAGGAUGGAUGACUAACAAUGGUGUCAAAUAGUCGCCAAGACUUGCAAAACCAGGAGGCGGAUGGGGUCUCCAGAAUGCAUAUUUUUGAUCUGUACAGGGAUCUGCAUGAAAUGUAAGUAAGUACCACGUAACAAACCUUAAAUGAACUGAAAAAUUUCAGCAAUAAUUGGACAUACUUCUGAUGAUCCCGACUUUAUCAAACUCUGUGCAGACGACAGUCAUUUUUCUGGAUGUCAUCCUUAGAAAUGAUAAAAUGUCUUCUUCAACAGCUAUAAACAAUCUCAAGAUGCUGAAUGAGAAGUUCAUAAAUAUGUUUGAAACUGAAAGCUCUAUGUUAGUCGUCCCAGAAACACUUGAAUACUUUACAGAGGUGUCGAACGGUUCCAGAAUUUUCACUCCAUUACUCUCCAUGGUCAGACCCAAUGUAUGAGCACUCAUUUCAAUUUCAUCAUUCUUUAUGAUUACCCUGCACCAGAAAAAAAAACAGAAGGAAAGACGAUAAAACUAUGAACAACAGAUGUGCAAAAACUUCAUCAAGCUUUAAGCAACGAAUCAUAUACUUAAAUUUCAGCUCUAACAGUAAUAUCACGGAGAAGCCAUUGACCUGCCAUAAGCAUCCAGCUGAGCAUGCAAAAGUUUGUUGGAGAGUAGUGGCGUUUUAACAACGUCUUUUGAUGUGUUGUAGAAUGUAAGUUCUGGGCCGAUAGCCUGCAGCAGCGGAAACGAGCUUCGAACAUUUAAAAUGGAAGUUUUCUUGGCUUAUCAUGCCCAUACAAAGAAGAAUGUUAGCAACAAUAAGAACCUGAAACUCAAUGAUCAUUUCCGUGGACUUCUCCGUUGUGAUGCUAGGAGAUUGGGAAACCGGAUCUUCCUUGCUCUCAGAGUCUUGUUUGGGGACUUUAUGAUAUUCUUCCAACACAACCCCUUCCUCUCUCGAAACAGAAUAGCUGCUGUAGGCUCCCAAAGAGAUACAGGAAUCCAAAAAUUGGCCAUUCUUGAUCAUAAUAGAAAGAAAAGUGAGAAACUAUAAGGACGACAGAAAUAAUAAAGUUCAGAUUUGACAAAGAAAUAAUGUAAGGACUUCUGUUGUACCUUGAAGAUUACAUUUCUGAAAUGCAACUUUUUUCCACUUCCCACAUAUAUAACAGGCUCUGUACUGGGAGAAGAAAGGAUGCCUCCAUGUCUAUCUUUCAGGUACAACGUUCCACCAUUACCAUCAUACACAAAAUCAUCAAAUUUCUCAUCUUCAACAAUUAAAGGACCCAGAGGAGAAAGAAACGCUUCAGCAGUUUGUUGCUUGUAGAUAGACUGAUCCAUGAUGACUGCGUCGACCAUAUUAAGGUUUUUAUCCUCUUCACUUGAUAGGACACUUCCAAUAGUAGGGACAAAAAACUCUACUACGGCCAGUAGAAAAUCCAAAGCUACAAGCAGCUGUGGCCUUUGGAUACAGACGGAAACAAAAGUUGACGACUGACCGAAUUGCGCAUCAAGAGUGAGCAUCGAAGGAAGCGGCCUAACAUCACUCCCGUUGGUUACACGGGAGUGAGUUAAUCUCUGAUCUCCAUCAGUCAGAGAAUGUGAGUCACCAAAAUCUAAGUCUGCAGGUCUUCCUACAGCAAGUCUAAACUCUUUUUCAGUUCCUUCACGGUUGUCAAUAACACUAAAUCCCUUCAACGUUGCUGUAAGGAAACCCUCAUCGUGUGUAUUGGAUUUGUAGAGAAGCCAGCCACCAGAGAUCUGUAAACCAAACACGAUAGAUUUAAGAUGUUAACUCAAUGUGCCAUGAGAUUGUUAACAUAAAUUUAAGAUGUUAACUCUGCUGUAAAAUUCCCUUUGAGAUUGUAACAUAAAAUCUCUACGAAGCAACAAACAUGAGAAGAAAAAGUGGGAACAAAGAGGGGGAAGAGUAGAGUCCUAUAAGAACGAUAAAAUUGCUGAUCCACAGAACUAGAAAGGAAUUUAAACAGAAGCCUGAUUUGAUAAUGUCAAAGAGAAAUUACAAUAAAGCAGAAAUCAAAUUACUGAAGUCUUUCUGGAGAACCAAUUCCGGACUGAGUCAAGGCCUAUUCAAGAUUAAACUUCACAAAUGCAUAGGCCCAAAUUCUUAGUCAGAAGUUUGACAUCAAACAAUAUUUGGUCAAUCACUUUUAUCCCCCAAAUCUAUCAGCUAUGACAGGUCCAAGGGACAUAAGAAUACUAUGUACUCCUAGAUAAAUAUGACAAUUGAAAUGAAUGGAACAUGGAAAGCGGACCUGUACAGCAGCCAACGGCGCAUCUCUUGCUGUCCCAGCAUACAAACACAACUCCACCAGAUUGAUGACAACAGAAACCUUCAUUGAUAUCCAAGCAUCACUUUUUUCAGUUUGAGCAGCAUUAGGAUCCUCGGAAGUAAGAGUUUCAGGUAAGUUUCUUGACGAUGCCACAAUAUCACCACUCAAUGGUGGCACGGUAUGCGGAAUCUCAGAAAUAUUAGACUGUGCACACUCUGUCAAGAUCUGGUAUUCCCUAUUCGAGAGGGCUGCUCUUAGUUCGUCUAUCUGAUAAAGCAGAAAUUUAAAGAACGUAUGAGUAAGAAAGUAUUAUGCUACAGACUGGAUAUAAGACAUUAUCCUUUACCUCUACAGAGACUUCAAUGCUUGGUAUCUGAUGCAACAAGUCUCGCAGAGACCUGUUAAUGGUUACAGAAACCCCAUUCACAUCUUGAAUUAUGCUUUCACCUAUUUCAGCUCCAGAACCAACAUUAAGGUUGAUAUCCAUGACCUAAGUUAAGGUUGUUUUCGUCAAAAGGUGUAGAAAAAACUAAUUGUACGAUAAGGUAGUAUGAAUUUAAAGUGAUAUCAACCAGAAUGAAAUAUGCUCAACCCAACAGCCAAACAACGAGAGUUCUCACCAUCACUUUCAUAGUUUCCAUGUGAACUGCAUUCAGCUCGUUUUUAUCUCCAGCAAACCACUGAAAGGUAUUGUUCACAGUUAUAUGCACAACAUCAAGCUUCAGGUAACUGCAAAUAAAAGAAAACCCGAAAAGUAGAGAAAGGUAAAUCAACUACUCUGAUAAGUCCAGAGAAUUCAUGGGACCAGUAACUAAUAUAACAAAAAUGUGUCAUGGAGAAAAAAAAAGGGUGGGGAGGGAGAAAUCAAAAUCCAAGCAUGAACUUACUCAGGGCUCUCAGUAUGUCGAGGCAUAACAAUUAUAGGCUUCUUAAGAGAUAGAUCCAACUUAAGAGCAGGAGAUCCUUCAAUUUCGCUAGUCGUAAACCACUUCUCGGAGUCCGUAAUUUGAUCCUUCAUCUUGACAACCCCUUUUGAAUCGCUUGGCACAAGCCCCAUAAAGUAUUCAGCAACCUACAUUGCAGAGACUGAUUGUAGGAAGCAAGACAAAUUUACUCGCAUCUACGUAGAGAGAAUAAUGAACUACCUCUUGAAUAAAGCGAUUCAGAUAAACAAUGCGCACUUCAGAAAGUUGUCCAGAGAGGCAGUAGUCAAAACCUUCAUGGUCUUCAUCAAUGACACUGAAUGAUGUAAAUGCCAACUAGGAACGGAAUCAAAGAAAUGAAAUUAACACGGAAAAAAACUCAUGCAUCUCAUCUGCACAUCAAUUCAUAUUCAACGAAAAAAAGAAACAAACAACGAAUACCUCAACAAAAGAAGUUCCUCCAGGGUCUCGCAUAUCACAGAUCCAAAAGUACAUAUGGUUGUCUGGGAGGCUGUCAUCACUGAUUCGUAAAUUUCCAAGACUUGCUGUAAUACUGAACGAGUUCGGGAAGACCUUCAAACAAAUGGGAAUCAGUACGGAAUACCUUGGAUAUUGAUAGUUCUGAAGCAAAGAGAAUCAUAAAUAAAGUUUGGAAUGCAAUUCAAAAAGUAUAAUCUAACCUUAAUAUCUGUUAGCAAAUUGUCUUGUGACAAUGUCGCAAACUUAGUUCCAUUCUCAUUCAUUAGGAAUAUCUGCGCCCGAGCCAUGUUCAAUGCCAAGUUGAAAAUGAUUCUAGAUUUCCCCUUCCCUAACAAACCCUUAACAGCUGCAUCCCUGGAAUCUUCAAAUCCAUUUCUUUUCGGUGAACUUUGCUCUCCAGCGACAGGAGAGCUGUCCUCAAAAGAUUCACAGCUUGGAUCUUCAACAUUGAUAGCAUUUACAAACUCCAAAAUAGCAAGAAUUGUUGGCCUCCGGCAGUAAAAUGAUAAUGUGGCUAGGCUUACGGUCACCUACAAUGUGUGAAACAUCAGCCACAAAAGAUAGUAAGCCUUGACUUUAAAACAACGGAAAAAACUAACAUCUCCGGACUGAAAGAUGUAUAAACAGAAAUCUCUUGACCUGAUUAUCAAUAUUAUUAUAUUGAGGUGACGUCUGAUGGUAUAUGACUAUUUGAGCCUUAACAAAACUAUCCAGAGACUCAAUUCUCUCACUGCUUGGCAUAGUGAUAUUCCUGUUGUCGACAGGGAGCAAUCCAUCCAUUCGACUAAAACUGGGGGUCCUAAGAGAUGUAUAGUCAACGGAGUCAACCAAGAUCUCUGGUGCUUCAUAAAAUUUUUCCUCCCCUUCGCUAGAAGAAAGAUCAUUUCCUUCAGGGUUUUUAAUCUCAGCAUCUUUAAAGGAUGGAAGCACCACAGAAGACUGAAUAAAAGAUCUUGCUAAAUAACAAGACUCAUUUGAACCAGAACGGCUCACCAAAUCUUCUAUUUCCAAAGAUUUUAGAACAGUCCCAAUAAACAUAUCACUCCCUCUCAUCGAGACUUCAACCUGGUUCGACAAAGACAAACAGACAUUCAUAAAAAGGAAUAAGAAAUGACAAAGAUAAUUAAGAAGCAGAUCAUAUACCUUCCCACCUAUGGCCCUAAACUCAAACAGUUUACUCUCUCUUGCAAGAAGCACCGCCAUGAAGGAAGCAUCGUGCUAUAUUAAAAUAUACUCAGUCAAAGCAUGUCCCAUAAUAACAACAAGCCGUGGAAUUUCACACGCAGAAAUAAUUUAUAUUUACCUGUUGACCAUAGCUGAAACAUAUUUUGAGUUCAUCAAGCACACCGGUUACAUAUAAACUCUCCAACUUAGACAAAUCCCAAAUAUCUUCUUUAUGUUCUGUUUCUGAUUCCUCACUGUCAGAUGACGUAUCCGAAAGACCGGCUAUGGGAGCAGAACCCUGUACAUUAAAGUGAAAUUUAAACUUAAAUCAUCUAUAUAAACAGGUAGAUCAUCAAUGGAACUGUCUCAUGGUAAGACGUCCUAUUGAUAACUGGAAGUAAGGUUCAAAAUUAAAUUUACCGAGGCCCGGUAGACAGCGCUCUGCAAACGGCUGUGCCAAGUCUUUCUAGACUCUUCAGAAUCAAACAUUAAUAUGAGUGCAUUCACAUCCUCCAUAACCUAGAGACCAUAAAAUUAAAAUAUUCAGCGCCAAAAUUCAUUGAAGUUUACAAUCAAGAUCCUCGAAUCCUCAUUGAUGAACACACAAUAAAAACAUAAAAGUCAUGACCAAACUCCGCCUGCAUUUAUUAAUUCAACUACAUGAGAUGUAAACCUUCUCAUUGAUUCGAGAAGCAUUGCGAAUGGACAAGACGUGUUCUACUCCUCCCGCGAGUUCUACAGGGACUUUGUAUAUAUGCUUCCCACGUAAGCUACAAAAGAUACAAAUCCUUAGAAAUAUGACAAAUACCAACUAGAACGAACAGAUAGAGUUAGGAAAAUAUCAAAACAGCUAGUAACUUUAACUGCUGGGUGAAACAGCAUAAAGUUUAGGUAAUGAAUUCUUACACUAGAUUUAUGAACCUAGAUAACUGGACUUUUAGUGGGUCUUUAGUUAGACAAGGAAACUUAAUAAGCCCCUUAAAUAGCACAACCGAGAGAAAUUCAUUUCUUCCGUGUCUUUUUCACCUUGACUUCACUAGUUAUAUAAUACAAUGCAUAGCAUUGGUUUAAUUUACAAAUGGCUACGAUAACAUAAACAUUGAGCAAAAAAGGCAGUCUUGCCAUAGUCUUUCCACAUGUCAAUCCUCGUAUCUUAUUCAUUGUAAACACACGCAAACAUUACAUAUAAGAGUACUGCACUUCAUCGAGUUUGUACAGACCAUCCAUUUUAUCUAAAGUCUAAUCUAUAAAGCCUCAUCCAUUUUAUCUAAAGUCUAAUCUAUAAAGCCUAUCACUACUAUAACGAAAUUGCAAGAGUUCGAAUCAUACCUGGUAUACUGCUUAUAAGAUUUUGAGUUAGGACUUUCCAGCACGUAUAUAAAAGGACCAACUAAACAUAAGUACCGCCGCUGCCAUGUAGCUUCUCUGCCCUAUUCAUGGAUUUGACAAUCGAAUAAAUAAAUAGUGUCCAAGAAGAUAAGAGAGCUUGCAACCACAAAAGUGAUUAUGGUACGUAGAACGGUACUGACCUUCCAGCUAAGUAAAGACAACCAACCCUCAAAAUCAGCUUCUUCCCAUGGACGAAGAAUGUGAGAGCCCUCAUCAUCCUUAGUUUGAAAGAUCUGUGCAACUUGCAUCAACCUAUGAUAUCGAGCUGGUGAGAAGUGAAAACCAAGUGACGGUAGCCGCACGGCAAGUCUGGUUGACGGGUACGAUGGGUUUGGCCUACGAAUCUACAAACCAAAACAGGAAACAAUAGUGCUAAAUAUCUACAGUUUGAAGCAUAACUCUUUUACCAAAAAUGUCUAUGCCAGAUGUCCAGAAUUUUACCUGUUGUAGUUUUAAGAGUACCCCACACUUGUCAAUAACUGGCAAGAAAGUAACACUGCUUUCCUUACCAGAAGAUUUUUUCGAGGAUAACUGUUUCCAGGAGUAGUCACCAUCAACAAGUAAUGCGGACACAUCACUCAAAACUAAAUCAAACUGUAGAUACAUAUCCAUUUCCUCUGACAGUUCACGCUUAUAGUCGUCCUGCAAAAUUUGCAUGCAUAGAAUUUAGGGAAUGUGCAUUUAGAAAAUUCAAAUCAUAUUGUUAAAAAAGUUGACAGCUGACACUUUUCUAUUUACCUGGGAACGGAUGACCAGGUUACCCAAGUCCAGAAGAAGCUUUGUAGAACGAUGGUUAUCAGGACGAAAUUCGGUUGGAAUUGUGAUUUUGGGUGCUGCAAUGUCUAAGUCGAGCAGAAACCUGGUUGUUUUGUAAAACGUCAUUUACUAAAACAAGCAUGGGCAUAAAUUUGACCACGAGCUCAUGAGAGUACGAACAGACCUUGCAUGAUCUUUCAAUGCUCUAUUCAUUCCUUGUUGAGCAGUGCGUCUAACUUCAUCAAUAGUUGACUGAGACGGUAAGCAAGUGAAUUAUAAUGAUUAAAGUGGCUCCCACGGGCAGUUGAAUAUAAGUAAGGAACAGAAAUCUAAUUCGAACAAUUUUUGAAUACACUGCAAGGAUCAAGCUCUACAAAUUGGAAAGUUCGAGCAGAAAUACUGACAAAAAACAGAAAUGCAUACUUACUAGAUCCCAUAUUACCAUUCCUUAGAUUAGAUAUACAGUUAAUAAUGAGAUUACAAUUACCAGGCUAUAUAAAACCAAUAUGCACUCAUUUUUGUCAACUUUUCACACCACGGCAAAUAUUAGACACACCUGUACAGCAGCUGCAGUCUCUAAAGCUAUUGUCUGGCUCACAGCAGUACUGCUUUCGAAGAAGUUGACAAUUCCAUCAAUAGAGUCCUUCAGAUACUGCAGGCGGCACCGCAAUAAGCCACAUAAUUUUUAGAAAGAACUGCUUAUACAAAAUUUUCUUAGAGAGAGGGGCACGCACAGUCAUAUAACACGGAGAAGCUUUUGCAACAAGACUCCAGUCAACUUUAGCAUCAAAAGGCUUAUAACAGAAGGAAGCAAGUACAGAGUGAGAGGCAGGGGCACUCUGCAAGAGAAGAGACAUUUUUAAGGGAUUUUAAGAAAUCACUGACAAUGUUCUGUAGCCUGAAGAAAACAAAUUCCACCUAACAAACCUCAGCAAGCGGGCCAUUUGGCGAUGACAAGCGAUAUCUUCCCAAUUUAAUGUCGGCAAUCUUUGUCUCGGGGAAAAGCUUAAUGGAGCAAUUAAGAUCUUCACAUGAUAACUCAGCAAGGCAUUCCUUAUCCCCAUCAUAAAGUUUUGAAGCAUUACGCCUCAUGUGUACCUCCAAGAAUGUAUGGAGAGCAUCAGGUUUUGCAUUGUUGAUAAUUGACUGCUCAUCACCUUCUUUGUACCCUAUGACUUUAUUUAACCGUUCCCAAUCUUCAUCGGUGAAUUGAACAGAUUCUCCUUCACCUUCAGACACUUGACUCUUCCUGAAGGCAUAUAUACAAAAUACUUUAGAAAAAAAUUGGGAGAAGGAGUUGGGAAUUUGGAAGCAACCAGGGGAGCAUUCACCCUCCAAACGGCCACCAUGAACUUUUAGCCUGUUGUGCCUUCGAGUAAUUUUCUGCUUGCACCGAUCUCUCAACAAACUUGUGGGCCAACAUCCUUCAUAAUAAAAUCAAUGAUAAUAUUCACAAUUAGAAAUGGUUUGUAAAUUACCCUUACUUUCGACAUCCUACUCAUGUAUUGACAAUGAAAAGAAAACAGAGAAGCAUCAUAGGUACAAAUAGAGAAAGAAAUAACGAAUUAGUCCUAAUGAAAAUUUAUAGAACUACACAAGACCAAACGUUUGAGAAAGCUAAUUGAUCUGCUAAGAUGCAACUAAACAAUAAUAUUUUACCUCCAUUGCAAAAUGACUUCGGUAUCAAGUCCCCGAUCAAGGGCCUUGAUUUCUUCAUCAUCAUCAACCACUGUCUUACUGACAUCAGAUUUCAGCAACGAAGCAUAACGCGUAAUGUAUCUCUUGCGUAAACUAGUGUACUUUAAAACGUGCUCCCAUGACAUUCUCCCGCUGUCAUAAAGGUAACAAUCUCAGAAAACGUAAACAGAAGAGAAGUGAAGUUAGGAACCGCAAGGAAACGGUUUCCAAAACGAAUGCAAAUUAUAGAGAAAUACGGCAGUAGCAAGACGACAGAAAUGAAUAUCUCUAAUUCGAUACCUUGCUAUCUUAAUUUGUUCUGAAACAACUCUGAAAGCAUAAUUCCACCAAGACCGUGCGUCACUUUUAACUGAAACAGAUGGACGGUAAUGUGCAUAUUUCAAACGCUGAUUAAACGCAGAAAAAUUAUCAGCAAGUUUCAUGACAUCCCUGUAUCCUCCCUGAGACAAAAAAAACACACACACACACAAUCUAGACCUCCGCAGACAUCCAAAUAAAAAAAGAAAGAGCAGGAGCCUCAAAUUUUGGCUUAACCUUUGAUAAACAAAGUGUCACAUCGUCCAAGUUAACAUAUGCCUUCUGCAAAGGUUGAUCAGUAUUGGAAGAACCAUUUGCUUGGGACUUAAUGUACUUUGCAUUCCCUGAGACAGGUUGCAGAAUAUAGAAAUGUUUUCUCGUUAGGUCUUCAGCUGGCUUACCAUCUUUGGUUCCGUAUCUAAAAAUCUAGAAAUAUGCAUGCACCAAAAAAUUAGAUUUUGGGGUAAGAGACAAAUUAUGUUCCACUAUAUACAUAACUUCGCUUAUGAAUACCUGAUCCCACUCAGAAGGAAGUAAAUCCUCCCAUGGUUUGUCAAUAUACCACGGAGACAUGUCAGAAUCAAGAUAGAAUGCAAGCCGAUCAAGUUCAACAGACUGCACAAAGGCAAACAUAAUUAUAACAGGAAUGUAAAGUGCCUUUGUUUUCUUUCUUGGCAGGGGUGAUCCUUUCACCAUGCAAUUAAUCCAUAUAUGAAUUCCACAUAAAGUUUUUCUCUAUAUCACUAACCCUUCCGGAGAGCACCCUAAGUCAAUCUUCCUCGGGUGCUUCUUACUAUACCCACAUAACUAUUUGAACUAGAUUAUUAAAAACAAACUACCUAGCUACUUACUACAAGCAAGCAUAAGCGCAAGAGAUCUGAACACAACACCUUCCCAAAAGUAUAAAACCGAGGGACAGAGACCUUUAUAAAAUGUUUUCCAUAAGACCAGAAAAGCUUGUGCCAGACAGAUAUUAAUGAGCAAAUUUAUACCUUUUGGAUGGAAGCCAGAGUGCCGCCAGUAAUAAAGGUCUCCUUCCCAUUCUCAUCAACUGUUACAGCUAAGAGUUUUUCUAGUGUAAAACCAGCUGAAAAUGGGUGGCCGGGAUUGCUGCACUUAUAAUGUAAGCUUUAAUCACAAUGGGAAGACAAUCAAAAACAAGAAGAAAAAAAUUGUCAUAUUCUAUUUACCUCUCUAGAUCCUCGUAUCUUAUGUGAAUAUUUGAUAUUGACAGCUUCAAGUUUCCCAUGACUGUGUCGACCAAUGAUCCUACCCAUGAUUUGUUCUUAUAAGAGAACAAGAAAAAUAUGGUAGUUAGUUUAAUACAAUAUUUCUGAACACACACUAUCUACUUUGAUGAGUAGCACUAGCCACACCAUUUCCGUAUGUAGUCGACGAGCUCUUUCUACUAGUUUUGUUUCCAUUUCCUGUAUAUUGCAAACAUAAAAGUGAUUCAAUGACUCAAAUCAGAUAAUGAAAACAAUCAUAACAUGAGCGACCUAUCUCACCAGUAUUAGCUUUCUUUUUUUCUCUUGGAUAGAAUCCUCACUACAUCCUUCAACAUCAGUUGCGGGUUCGGCUAAUAAAAAAAUUCGAUCAAGAUAAACCACUACAGGUUCCUGGCCAAGCCUGCUCCAUGGUACCUAAAAUGAUUUGAAACGUAUCAGUAAAUGGGUGUAACCGAGUGUAGAAAAAUCUGUAAACAGGAAGGUAAAAGACCCCUGCCCAGAAAAAAAAUCGAUAUCACCCGGAAAAAAAUGUAUGAUAUUGCGUCACUUACAGAGACUACAACAGCAGUUGAAAUACAAUUUGUGAGCAAAUGUGUAGAAAAACGGGAAGAAAAUGAACGCACUCAAGCAGACAUACUUUAGCUUUAGAUACAACAGACAGAAGAAAAAAACACAACACACCUUGAGUUUGACUGAUCCAAGAAAUCCAGCUUUAACCUUGACAGGUAAUUUCAAAGCGUUAAGUGCUUCUGGUUUUAGUUGCAUAUUCUUCAGCUCCACAUCCCCUGCGAAAUUAAGUAGAACCAAGAGCUAAUUAACAAAUGAGAAAACUAAAAGUCCUUCCUUUUAUUCAGUCGAUCUGUUCUUAGUAACAAAUGGGAAAACCAACUAAGCAUUUACGAAGUGAACAAUCAAUGUAAACGAUGAAGAAAGCAAGCAAGCCGAUAUUCUCCAUCAUCUUUGAAGAGUUCCAACCAACUAAACCCCAAAAAAUCACAAAAUCUGAACUUUACUCCCACCCUUCUUCCAAAAUCAAAGAAGACUUUGCCGUUUAGCUAUACGAAUAUUACAGCUCUUUAUCCAACUACAACACAACACAAAACCUAAAUUCGCUACUGAAUAUCACAGAAGAAACCAAUCUGACCUUGCCAGACACUGAUCUUAAGGGCUUCCUUACUCAAUCCCCUGACGUAGUUCCCCAAGUACCGCUGUAACAAGUAGGCUACUUGAUCUUCCAACAUCUUCGUAUCCUACAAAUCAAAAACUGGGAAAAACAAAAUCAAGAAAUCUAUCGGAGACGAUGCGUGGAUAGAGAAGAAAACGCGUGGAGUGGGUUCGAUUUGGAUCGGAGUAGAGAGCGGAUGGAAAAGAGAAGGAGGCACAUGGGGAGGAAGAUGAUCGUUUCCUCAAGAACACGCAAGUAGGAGGAGUUGGAAUUGUGAAUUAGUCGUCAUGACUUGGAGAGGAGUUACGGCUCCGUUAAAAAGGAAUAUUAAAAAUAUCCUCUCCGAUUCUUGGCGGUGCUGCUUAUCAAUUGUUGCCUAAACAAGAAAAUUAAAACAUUUUUAAUUCCAUAUAUGUACAAAAUCUAUUUGGGAAAUAUCUAGGAUAUCACUAAAAUUUUUUUAUCACAAAUAUAGACUUUAAUGAUCAAAAUGUUUCAUUCAAGAAAUUAUAUCCUUAUACCCUAAGGAUUAACUAAUCCAAAUUUUAAGAUUUAAAAUCAAAGAGUGGGAUUUGGGUUUGAGAUUUAAAAAUUUUAUAAAACAGAAAAUAAAUAUUAAAAUUUUGAAAAUAAAAUUUUUUAAAAUAGUUUCAAAAAUUAUUUUCGAAUUACAAAAAAAAAAUUUGCCAAAAAAAAUUAAAAACAAAAUUCCAAAAGACAAAUUCCAAAAAAAAAAAUUAUAAAAAGUUCGAAUUUGAAAACCUAUAAUCUAAAACAAUAAAAAAAUUUAUUUUUUAUUUAUUUUAUUUUUAUAUAUCUAGGGUAUUAGUAUCCUUUUACCUAUUAAAUGAAACAUUUUGGUCAUUUUCUUCCUUGUGAUCUAUUUUUGUGACCAAAACUUGAAAAUAGUCUAUUUAUGAGAAUUGCCCAAUAUAUUUUGCCAUCAUACAUUUAAAUUUACAAAAAAAUAUUCUGAAUAUUUUUUAAAUAUUAUGAACAUUAAAAUUAAAUUAAGAGAAAUUCCAUUGGAUAGCCAUUUUUAGUUUAUUUUCACAAAAUAGUCUAUCAAUGAGGAAAAUGACCAAAAUAAAUUUUAUUAAACGGUAAAAUAUGAAUUUAUACCCCUUGAGUUAACUAAACUUAGGAUUAAGAGUUAAGGGGUGGAUUUUGGGAAUGCGUUUCAAAUUUAAAAAAAUUUAAAAUUAAAAUUUUCAAAACAAAAAUGGGUUAUUAUGGUCAUUUUAUUUAUUUAAGGCUAUUUGUGAUAAAAACUUAAAAAGCCUAUUUGAGAGAAUUGGCCUUAAAUUAAUAUAAACUAGGUGUUUUAUCUGUACAUGCAGAUAUAAUUCUUUUAUAGAUAAUUAUUAAUAAGUGUAUUAUUAGUUUAUAGAUCAAAAAAUAAAAUAAAGGGGUAAACAUUAUAUUUAUAUUUUUUAUGAAUCUUUAAAUUUCUUAAUUUAAAUUUUUAUUGAUUUAAAACAUUAUUUUAGAUAACAACAUUAAUAUUUUAUUUUAAAAUAUGCUGUUAUUUUUAACCAAUUUUUAUUAUAUUAAUUUAUAUAUAAUGAUCUAAUUAAAUAAACAAAUAUAUAAUUGUUAAUACAAAGUGAUGUUGUUAAACUAAAUUUUUGAAAUUACCAAAACCUACAAAAUUUCAAAAUAAAUCAAAAGCACAAAAAUGUUAAACCGAACCCAAUUUUACAUAUUAUAUUAAUCAAAGUAAAUAAAACUAUGGAUAUAUGUAUAGUUAUAUUGUAAAGUAUCUUCCAUAAUAACUCAAGGGAAAUUACACCCCAUAUACUAGACUUUUACCAUAAUUAACCAAAUAUCAUAAAUCCCACAAUAUUAUACCUUUCUCUAUAGACACAAACUAGUCACAUCAUAGGUAUUUUCAAUUUUUUAGGGUUUUAAACCAAUUCACCCAUAACUAAAUAAACAUUCAAACAGAUGAAUCAUGUUGUCAAACAAAAUAUUAAUAUUGUAUAAGACAAAAACAUUUCCAAUCUAUUUUUAUUUUCAUUUCUAAAUAUUAUAGUAGAGAAAAAUAAGAUAUAGUCAAUCUAUAUUUUUUACUUUAAAGUAUAUAUUGCUAUUUCCCUAUAAAUUAUUAUUCCUCUUAUUAUAAAAUUAUAAUUUGUUAUUUUCAAAUGGUCUUUUAACUUUAAAACUUUGAUAAUUAUAAAUAAGACUAUCAUUUUAGAAAAUACAGUUUUGAUAAUAUAAAAAUCACAUUUUUCUUUACUUUAUAGUCUCUUAAAGAAAUUUUAAUCUAAAAAGUUAUAAUUCUCUGAAACUCUUGAAAAAAAAUAAAAGUAAACAGAGUUAAUUUUAAAUUUUUAUAAAUAUAAGAUACUUGUUGUAAUAUAAAAUUAAUAUUUUGAAAAUAUUCUCUUUUGGAAGCAGAUAUUUUGAAACUAUUUAAAAAGGAUAAUUACAUUCCCAAUUAAAAAAAUAUUUAGAACAACAAAAACAAAUAAAUAUUAAUUUUCAACUUAAAUAACAAAUAAAUGUUAUUCUUGCAACUGAAUAAUAAGAAUAAAAAUAAAAAUACCAAAAAAUCACGUUAACAAACAAAUAUAAAUCAAAUUUUUGUUAUUGGUUACAUACCUAUUUUAGUGCUAAAAUAAAUUUCAUAUUUAAAAAAAUAUGACAUGACAUAUUACGUCUACAAACAAAUAUAAAUAUAUUUUUCUUCAUAAAACUAUUUUUUAUUAUUUUAAUAUAAUGAAAAAUCAAAUUAUGUGUAUAUAUACUACCUAAUUAUAAAAAUUAAUAAAUAAGAAAGAAAGAUGUAUAUAAACACAAAAUAAAUACAUGGAAUUAUCUUUUCUUUUUCCAAACAUGUUCUCCAUUUAUUUUCUGAGAUAAUUUUUAUAAUAUUAAUUUGUAAUCAGUUAAAUAAUGAAUUAUAUAGUUAUGUAUUAAAACUUUAAUCAGUCUAAUUAAAAUGUAUUAUUAAAACUAAUGGCUCAGAUUAAAAUCAAGGAGUACAUGACAAAUAAACAAAAAGCAAAUUCACUUCUCAAAUAAUAGUAUAGAUUAUAAAAAUAAUAUUUUGAUGAAUUUUCAAUCAAUAAUUUUAUGUGUGUCACAAAAAUUAAAAAUACAUAUCCGAUAUUUUUAUUCAUAUGAUGUUAAAAGUUAUAAAACUUUUUCAUUAAUCCAUGUGUGGAGAGUAAAGAGUUACUUCACAGUUUUCCAGUAUAUUAAGCUAAGUAAAAUGAUCAAACUGUAAGUUUUCAUUCUUCGAAAUUGUAUCUUCCAUUAUGAUUAUAUAAUACAUUUAUAUAAAAAUUCUUUUAAUCAACAAAAUAAAUGUUUUACACCCAAAAAAAAAAAUGUUAGACGGAAAAAAUAUAUGAUUCGAAUUUCAAAUUACUUUAUAUAGACUAACUUUUAAUAACUAUCAAAUUUCUAAGCUAAAAUUAUUUUCAAAUUAUUUUUAACUUUAUCAUGUUAUUUUAUUAUAUCUGAACCCAAACAAAAUAAAAUAUGCUUAUGGUUCAGACCAAGACUGAAAAUCAUAGUCCAUAAGUCAAUGCCUUAUAUUAACGUUGAAGAGGAAACGCACACAUUUGCACGUGUAUAACUGCACGCUGUAACGCUUCAGAUCCAAUUGUUGUGGGCCUGUGUACAGUGUGGUUUCAUUAACUUGUUCUUGGGUACAUGCCACAUGGUACAUUCUGUUUUUUUUUUUUUUUUUUUUUUUUUUAUAAUAAGUACUUAUAUUAUAAAAUCUGCCCGAAGAAUCGGGAAUCAGAUACGGUUACAAGCUUGUUUUGAACAAAAUGUCAAAAUCUAACUAUUACAAGCCUAGCUUCGCCCACCCACUAAACCCGGCACGUUCCGCUAAGUUGUUUUUCGAAGUCAUUCGAUAUCGGUAGCCGUUCUUGAUGUUAGGAGUUUUCAAGGCUCCUAAGACAAAUGUUGUAGUAUAGAAGAUUGUCGAACCAGUUCUGAGGGAUAUCAAAGCACUGAGAAUGCAAGUACUCACUUAAUCUAAGUGCAACCAAUGAUUUAGAUGAGUUUUAAGCUAUGACUAAAACUAAAAAGCAAUAACAGAAUGAUACUUUCUUGACUAAGGGAAAAGAGAAUUCAUGGGCAUAGGGAUUAGACCUUGGGUGAUCAAGUAUCGAACUAAGGAUGGCAAAUGAUCAAUCAAACUAUCAACCUUAAGCCUAGACACAAUUCUAAGCAAGCUCUAGGUCUAGAUGAAUGCUCAUUUGCUAACACAUCUCAAACAUCAAAUGUCUUUGGUUGAAUAAUAUGAAAGCAAUCAUUACUAACAAGUCUAUUAGCUAUCUUAGCACCUUUAACAACAAAUGUCUUUGGCAAAGUAUACUAAAAGCCUAGGAGAGUUGUCUCGAGCAUUUCAUCGAACACCUUUCGGGUGAAAAAUGCCUAAGGAUCAACAACUGAGUGGCCAACUCAGAAGAUGCAUUAUGAUUACUCUACUAGCAAGGAAAUAUGAAUGAUCUACACUAAAACAUCCUAGCUCUAACCUAAUCACCCUUAAUCUCCCUAACCCAUGAAUUCAAAAGGUGAUUACUCACUAAUCUCCAUGAUUCCUCUUAAACCCAUAUUGGAUUUCAGAUUAAUCAUGUAGAGAAAUAGAUAAGAAAUCAACAAUAACACAAGAACAUAACAAUCAAAAUCCAAGAGAUGAACUUCUCAAGAGAGUUCUUGUGUAUUUCUCAAUAGAUCCAAAAGAUCCAAGAUCAUCUGCCUCUGGUGGCUACAAAAGAUGUUUAAAACAUAGGUUUUUCCAAGUGCAAAACGUCCAAAAUAAAUUGCAAAAAGGUCCUUAAGAAAUCAUGAUUUUCGGCAGCAAAAUAACGCGGAGCGACUUACAGGUGUCGCUCCGGGAAGUCGCUCCAGGGCCGAUUUUUGGUGUCUCCGGGCGAGAGGUCGCGAGCGACUUUGGUGUGUCGCUCCAACGGGUCGCUCUGGAUCGGGAGCGACCUUGGUAGGUCGCUCUGAGAGGUCGCUCCAGGCUUCGCUUCGUGUCGUCUCUCCAUAAAGACGCGAGCGACCUCGGGGUGUCGCUUUGGGAGGUCGCUCCGAGAGGGGUGUGAGAUGCGAGCGACUUCGUGGUGUCGCUCCGGGAGGUCGCUCCGGGCUCGUUCUCGCGUCUCCGAGUGAUGAAACCGCGAGCGACUUCUCCCUGUCGCUCUGGUAAGGUCGCUCCAAUAGGGAAGUCAGAGCGACUUGGUGGUGUCGCUCCGGACUGGUCGCUCCAUGCCUUGCUCGCCCAAUGACCACUCUAAACACUCCUUUUUGAGCUCCAAAUGCACCCAAAUGUCUCCAGAAACUCCAUGUGGUACUCAAAUACCUGAUAGAGACAUAUGUAUGCAAAAUGCAACCUAAACAUGUCUAAAUCCUAAUCUAUAUGAUGAAAAUGUUUAUGAAUGAAUGGAUAAAACAAUGUAAAUAUGCAAGAUAUCAACUCCCCCAAACUUGUUCUUUUACUUGUCCACAAGUGAACUUUCUAGAACUCAUAGGGAGAGAGGUUGAAGGAGGGAGCACAUAGCCAAAAGAAACACAACUAGCACACUCUCUUAUUACACUCUAGCUUCUCUAGGCCUAUCUUAACUCUUUUUGUUCUUACACUCAUCAUCAAGCAUCCACACAUUCAAAUCAACCAACUCUCACAUUCAUUAAGCACAAAACAUCAGGUGAAUUCUUGCAAAUGGUCAGUUGGUCCAAGUCAUUUGGUUGGGUAAGGGAAGGCUUUUAUUCAAGUGAUUCAAGAGGUUCAAAACAUAUGAUCUUUAAGGUGGUUUACUCUCAAAACAAGUAGCCUUGACAUUGCACAUAAUAUAUCUAAGAAAGGGACCAACUCAUGCAUACAAUGCUCAAUCUCCAUUGUUCUACCCUUUCUCAAACAUACAAAUCACACAAUCAUUUCCCAAUGUCAAACCCAACUCACAUCUCUCACCAAAAGAUCCUAAGAACUUUAACUCCUUCUCUUUGAAAUCUACAAGGGAUUUUUUCACAACUUCAAAACAUUUCUUAACUCCUAACAACUUUGCUAGCCCCUUUUUUCUUUUCUUUUUUUUUUUUUCUUUUCUCUUUUUUUUUCGUUUUUUUUUUUUCCCUUUUUUUUUUUUAGGCUGGGGCCAAGACUUUUCAAAACUUGAGCUAGAGGCUUUUCUACUUAUCCCAAUAAAACAAUUCACUUAAACACAAAGAGUCAUUUCUUUUCCUUUUUCAUUGCUCCCAAAUCAUAAUCACAACACUCACCCCCACCUAUAGCUAGACAAUAGAGUGCCUAAUCUAGCAAGAAUGAAGAUCAAGCAUUGUCGUUCCCGAUACUUUCAACAUUAUGCACAUGUAAGACUUUCCGAAGAAGGCCUCACUCAUCAAACAAUGAAAGCUUAAAAGGAGGGAAAGGUUUUGGGAGUGGUCUACCACUAGAGUUUGUCAAAACAAGAUUGGCAUAAAGGAUGUGACAACUCAAGUGUGUAUAGCCAUGACUCAGUACACAAGGGACCAUGAGCAAGAAGCAUUAAGUUCAUUCAGUUCAAAUAAGGUUGUAGUUGGCUUCAAAGACUGAGUUUCAGCAAUCAACAAGUUUCAGGAAGAGUUUUCAAGGCUCGAAACAUACAAGUCUUUUUGAGAGGUGCAAAAGCUAGUCAAGUGCAACGUAGUGUUCUUUACAAGGCAUUCAAAAUCAUUGCUCCCAAUGCAAGUGAAUGCAACCUAUAUGCUCUAGACUCUCCUAAAAAUGCAAAUGAUGCAAACUAAAUGAUUGAUUUUUUUUUUUUUAUCUAUGCAAAUAGGUAUGCCAUGCAUGACUCAAUGAAACAACAUCAAAGCAAACAUGAUCAAAUACUUGGUACCUCCCCCAAACUUGAGUUACACAGUCUCUGUGUCGUCAAGUAGAGAGAGAUACCGAAAAGAAGACUAAUAUGCAAAAAUGAAAUGGUAUAUACAAGGGAGUGUGGUGGGUUACCUUCUAUAGGGAAUGAGUAGAGGGAGAUGCUCCCUCCUCGUCGUCCUCAGGUGGUAACUCUUCAAGGUGCUCAUCAG